GGUUAGAAUUCUGACACCAGAAGGUCAGACAUGGUGGUGGCACAGGCAUGCAAUCCUAGCACUGGAGCUGAGGCAGGAGGAUGGAGUUCCUGGACAGCCUAGGCUACCUAGCAAAACCCUGUCUCAGAGUGACAAAGGACAGCAGAAGUACCCAGAAUCCUCCUGGGGUUGACAGUUUGGCUUCUGGGGCCUUCUUUAAUUUUCUUGGGAACAUGUCUAUCCUUACGCAACACAGAGUGACAAGGAGCUACUGGAAUUCAAAUGCAGCUGUGUUCUGAGGAAACUUAGAUGUCAGUCUUCAAGACACUAAGAAAAGAGUGCUGCUUGCUUUGUGUCCCUGGGAGGCGGCAUUCCAGUUUCUUCAGUGUCUGUCCUGCCUCCUGGGGUCUUGCCGGCACCCCGCCUGCAUACAGGGGGCAGCCCAGGCUCCCCCCCGCCAAAGAUUAUUACAACACAGGCAAAAAAUAAAUAAGCUAGGUGUGGUGGCAGCCUGGUCUACAUUGCAAAGUUUAGGACAGCCAGGGCUACAUAGUGAGACCCUGUCUUAAACAUUUUUUUUUUCAUUAAGACAUCCCAGCCCAUGUAUUUAGUUGGUCCAGUCUAUUUCUACAUAUAUCCAUAUAUUGACAGUGUCAUAAGUGAUUUUAAAUUUCUGGCCAUAACUCUAGAUGAUUUGAGUUUUAGGUCGUUUUUCAUGUUGGCUGUCCUUUCCCACUUUAAAAUCUUUGUGUCUUAACAUCACACAGCUUCCCUGUUUGUUCCCUCACCUCUGUAUCAUUAAAUAGGACUGUCCCUGGACACAGCCACCCUAAAAGAUAAAUAGAACACUCAAAAGGACUUGAAUUCGCAGGCACCAUGGGUUCACACGUGCUUCACAGAAGUUGCUGACCCUGGCACGGCAGGUCCUGCCUCAUGUGGCUGGGCCUGAAGAAGGCCUGGGGGCUGGAGACCACCUAUAAAUAUCUUGAGCUUGAACAAAAGUAGCCUUUUAGGGCAUCUGCAUUAGCCCUUCCAGGGAGGUAGCCAGAGUGCUGCCCUGUCCCUCUUAGGUGAGAAGUGGUGUAUCUAAAAGGUUUUCACUGAAUAAAUACUGACACAAACCUCCAAACCCUUCUCUGAGCCCCUGGGACAGCCACUGGCCACUGUUUGAACACCACACAAGUUAAGUGAUUUGAUGGCUUGUGGCUGGCGUGGAGAUCUGAGCUCUGUGACAGGUAGAGCCCCACAAAUGGCGGAAGCCAUGGAGUUUGGACAGUUUAUCUGAUUCCAAGGUGAUUUCAGGCCAUGAGCUGUCAAUAGGAUUUUUUUUUUUUUUUGGUCUGUUUUUGAGACAGGGUCUUCUGUAGCCCAGGCUGGCUUCAAACUUACUGUACAUCAGAGGGUGAUCUUGAACUAAUGAACCUCCUUCCACCUCCAUGUGCUGGCAUUAACAGGUUUCUACCACCCUGCUGGCUUUCUGCUGUGCUAGGAAUAAAACCCAGGACUUUGUGCUACUGGGCAAGCACUCUUAUCGACUGGGUGCACCCCUCAGCUCUUUCUUACUUUCUUUUGACCUCAGCCCCUUCCUUUGUAGGUCAGGAAACUUAGAUGCAAAAUUAUUGUAUGAGAAUUUACAUAAAUGGUUUUUUUUUGCUGCUUCAAAACUUGUGAUUUCUAUAAAAACCAUUUCAAUGAAGACAUGAGGUAGCACACAUCGAAUGUGCUAAUAUGCAAAUUUUGAGUGGCUUUCCAUGAACACCUGUAUCCAACA
rnacentral:lncRNA from 1 species